CCCGCCACGAAGUUGCUUGCGUCAUGACGUCGUAUCAUUUUGGUUCCUGUGUCUGCUGAACUGUGCUGGGGACUGAGGCUUCUGUGGUGGCGGUGGUGAUCCCUGGUGGCGGUGUCUUGUUUUGUGUGUUUUGUUGGAGCACCUUCUUUUUUUUGUUUGCCGUGUUUUUGUAGUGUCCAGGGUGAUCCCUUUUCUUCACUGGACGUUGCCCCUUUUCUCACCACUCUUCCCCCCCCACUGGUAAGCCUCAGUUUCCUUUUGAAAUUUAAAAUAUUUUAUAAUCAAUUUAAAUAAAAAUGCAUUCACUGUUUUAACCAUUCAAUUGCAGAUUAUUGUGAUUCUUUUUAAACAAAAGACGUGUAGUGUUUAAUAAACUUUUGUAAAACUAUUUGAAUCCUGUCUCAUUUCCAGUAGAACUUACCUGUGUCCUUACUAUUUUAUUUUCCUGGAGUUAUUCCAGGUGGCGUUGUCGGUAUCCCAUAUUAACUUUAACAUCUUACAUUUGGGUUUCAUAAAAAAAAA